CGCAAGAGAACACUGCAAAGGCUGCAAAAGCAAGGAGAGAGGGCUGGCAGAAAGUUGCUGACAAAUCAAACUCAGCCACAACAGGACCCACAAGAACAUGGGAACAAGUAAAAGUGGAAUACAGGAGUAUUCUACAGAAUGGUAAUAUUUAUCUCUUAGAUUGCUUUUCGUCUCUUGGCAAGGUAAUACUGGCCUGUAAUACUCUGUUAGUUUGUUCAUAACAGCAACCAAGAAAAGGGCAGAGGAAAAAAAGACAGGUGGUGGUCCUGCACCCCCUCGUCAACAAGUUGGUUAAGUAAAUAAUACCCUCACGGGAAAAUCGAUAUCUCUCAAUGAGCACACUGUCGCGCUGAGCUAAAGGAUCCUGUCUAUCCCGCAAUAUACGCUGGAUUCUGAGGACUCUCCUUAUCAAUCUUGCACCUUCCGCAAUGGGUUGGUCGCGUAUACGGACAGGACAUGGCUGCGACAGACUUCCCAAAUCCACCUUCGCUUUUAUAGCCGUGGUCUCUCAUCUUGAUUACACGAAGUAAUUUACAAUUACUACUCUGAAAUAUGAAUUACAUCUGUAAUAAUCACAUACAUGUAAUAGAAUGUUAAUAGUUCAUUUCCCUUUUUUAGGAAAUGACCUGUAUGUAUCUGUGUGACAUCAAUAAAUGGAUCAGGUGCUGCAUUA